UACGUAGGGCGCAAGCGUUAUCCGGAAUUAUUGGGCGUAAAGAGCUUGUAGGCGGUUUGUGGGGUCUGCUGUGAAAAUCCGGGGCUCAACCCCGGACUUGCAGUGGGUACGGGCAGACUAGAGUGUGGUAGGGGAGACUGGAAUUCCUGGUGUAGCGGUGAAAUGCGCAGAUAUCAGGAGGAACACCGAUGGCGAAGGCAGGUCUCUGGGCCACUACUGACGCUGAGAAGCGAAAGCAUGGGGAGCGAACAGG
rnacentral:rRNA from 1 species